AAGAUGCGGGCUGGCUCCUUCUCUGCAGCACUAGACAUACGAAAGAGCGGAAACGAUGGGAGCUUGCUCCCACGGCGUCGAGCGGCGGACGGGUGAGUAACACGUGGGAAUCUGCCCAUUAGUGGGGGAUAACUCGGGGAAACUCGAGCUAAUACCGCAUAAUCCCUACGGGGGAAAGCAGGGGAUCUUCGGACCUUGCGCUGAUGGAUGAGCCCGCGUCGGAUUAGCUUGUUGGUGGGGUAAUGGCCCACCAAGGCGACGAUCCGUAACUGGUCUGAGAGGAUGGCCAGUCCACCGGGACUGAACCGGCCCGGACUCCUACGGGAGGAUGGGGAAUCUUGAAAUGGGCAUCUUGUUUUUUGGGGGGAAGACCGCCCCGUUGAAUUUCAAGGAAAGUUGG
rnacentral:rRNA from 1 species